AACAUUAUGGUCAAUGCCUUAGUCGUUAAACACUCCCAUUCGUUGUAGUUCUAUUCAUGUCUGUUCAGCUUUCAACAAUAUUGAAAUUCAAGGUCCUCGAUAAAAAAAAUCUUGCGUUCUAUAUUAUCUUGCUUUAUAUGUUUUUUUUUUACUUAUUGGUUUGAUUUCUAACAAAAUUAUGUUUAAAUACAGAUAAUAAUUGUUUGCAAAACAAAUUGCUUCCAGGUUCAAGCAUUACUGAUGAGUCUUAAAGUAAGGAAAUCGAAGGAAAACGGUUAAUUUUUGUUAGCCAUUUUAUUAUUUUGAGAGAAAAAAAA
rnacentral:lncRNA from 1 species